CACACACACACACACAGUGUUCAGCUGCACAGAAACUGAACAACAGUGGCACAAAACGGGGACCAAGGUAUUAAACCAGGUCCAGUUAAUGACAUGGUCAUCAUAUCAGCCAGACAAAGAGAGAAGAGACCGGUAGAAUGAACAAGAAGCAGUUUGUAAAAAGGAGUCAGCUUCCCCGAUGACAGCUUCAUUCUGAAGGUGCAGGAGGCGUACCACAGACUUGGUGCAGAUGAGGCUCCGGUGAUGACAGCCAUGGCUGUCUCUGGUGAUGUACCUCUGGUUGGGUCCACGUUUGGUUCGGUGCAGGAGGGAAGCGGGCCAUCUUACCAACUACCAGUGAGGACGGCCCCCAGGACGCGUCCACACAAAGACAACCCUUCUCUCCCACAACUGUCUCUCUCUCAUUAUAGACUGGGACCCUCUGCAUGUGCAUUUGUGUUUACUGAACAUCAUCAUUUCACAUCCCUCACAACAUCAUUGGGGAAAUCAUACAAAGCUGAGAACAGAACACAAUCGCAGAGUUUCUGUGUGGAGGGGCACCAACUAAGGAGAUGCCACAUCACUUCUACAAAAUUUAGAUAAGUGUGUCACACCAGGGCAGAAGGUUCUGCUGAGAACCUUGUGAAACAGCCUAUGUGAACAAGUAGUCAGACUGAUGACAAAUGUUGGGGUCUUGCUUUGGAGCCUACAGCCAUCAAGGAGUACUGCAAGGUAAUAGAGGUAAACCACUACCCUUGUGGGGUCCUGAUCCACCUUGAGGCACCAUGGAUGGGUUCAACACCAG